rnacentral:tRNA from 1 species
GCGAUGGUAGUCUAGCUGGUAGGACACGGCCCUGCCACGGCCGAGACCCGGGUUCAAAUCCCGGCUGUCGCA